AAGUCGUAACAAGGUUUCCGUAGGUGAACCAGCGGAGGGAUCAUUACAGAGUUGCAAAACUCCCAACCCUCUGUGAACGUACCUACAAGUUGCUUCGGCGGAAGGCCCUUUAGGGGGCGGCCCGCCGAAGGCCUACAAACACCUGUAUUUUUGGCAUCUCUGAGUUACCUAUAAAAUAAGUUAAAACUUUCAACAACGGAUCUCUUGGUUCUG
rnacentral:misc_RNA from 1 species